AACGAACGCUGGCGGCAGGCUUAACACAUGCAAGUCGAACGCACCUUUCGGGGUGAGUGGCAGACGGGUGAGUAACGCGUGGGAAUCUACCCUUCUCUACGGGAUAGCUCCGGGAAACUGGAAUUAAUACCGUAUACGUCCUGAGGGAGAAAGAUUUAUCGGGGAAGGAUGAGCCCGCGUUGGAUUAGCUAGUUGGUGGGGUAAAGGCCUACCAAGGCGACGAUCCAUAGCUGGUCUAAGAGGAUGAUCAGCCACAUUGGGACUGAGACACGGCCCAAACUCCUACGGGAGGCAGCAGUGGGGAAUAUUAGACAAUGGACGCAAGCCUGAGCCAGCCAUGCCGCGUGAGUGAUGAAGGACCUAGUGCUGUAAAGCUCUUUCAGUGGGGACGAUAAUGACGGUACCCACAAAAGAAGCCCCGGCUAACUUCGUG
rnacentral:rRNA from 1 species